rnacentral:lncRNA from 1 species
GCCCUUUGGCCCCCACUGGCUGCUUCUCCUAUUUCAAUUUCCAUGUCCUCUCGGUUUUGUAACUCAAGGAGCUCCCCUGGCUUAGGAACAGCUGACAACUCCACAGCUCCCAGCAGUGGCACCUGGAGAAGGGGCGGAUGGGCACUGACUUGUGGGCGUGCUCUGGGGCACCCUGUCCCCAGCUGUCAUGAGUCAUUUACAAGGAAAAGACCCCAGAUCACAAUGAUGUGAUUUAUAUUGAUCCCUGGUUAGUCAUCAGGAAAGUCUGAGUGGAGAAUGGAAAACAAAGGGAUGCUUGAGUUGACAAUGCCCGAGUGUCCCUCGUGGAGGGAGUGCUGCCUCCGGAUCCAGGAUCAGCAGCCGUGGAAACAUCUCCCUUUUGCAGAGGGUGGGUGCUGUGAAGUGAGACCCCACAUUUCAUUCAGAGGAUUUCUUUUCAUUUGCUCCCUUCAGGCUGUGAUUGUGUCAGGCUUCCAGCAUUCUCUGCACCCAGGAUCAAGUCAGGUUGGAGGAGCUUUUCCAACUCAGUCUAGGCAAACACUUCGGCUUUCCCAGCAAAGAACAAGCACAUGACCAAGGACAAAGAGAACAUCUUGACCAUGUAAGUAAUGAUGACCACUCUGUCCCCAGCUCGCGGGGACCCUGAAGACUCCAGGUUGCCUCUCUGUAUUGGCCCCUGAUUCAAACAGAUGGCAGGGGGGUGUGUCUGAAGGAGCUGGGUGCUGAUGUCAGGAGCCCAGCACCCUUGUGGAAGCCAAGAACGACACUGAGGGGGCAAGAAGAGAUUGUGAUGAGCUGAGUGAUGGUGUUGUCUCCCAGCACGCACAAGGGCUGGUGCGGCAGCUGGUGACCUGAGAGGCAGGGCUAGUCCCAGCAGGGAGGUGCUCAUAGAAGGGAGAGAGUUUUGGUGAGGAGAGGUAGCACAGUCAUCCUCCACCCAGUGUGUCCUGGGAGAUGCCUGCGGGGUGGAAGUUGGAUGAUCCGGCUAUGAUUGGGUCAAUCUGAUUCAAGGAGAGGGAGGAGAGGUGACGUGGCCAGAAGGAGGGCAGGAGGGUGGAUGGCAGAGAAUGCAGCCAGCCACCUGGGCCAUCCCCCUGACCUCUGCUCACUCAUCCUUUCCCACCCCUGGGCUGAGGAUGCACCUCGUUAGGUAGUUUUCAGAUGAGUAAACUGAGGCAGGAGCCAUUCCAGGCCCAGAGGGGAGAGCAAGGAAGCCAAGCGUUGUAAUCCCUGGGUUAGUUAUUCAUUCACACCCAGGGGAAAUGCUCCAGCCCUGCCACUCACUAUUUUAAAAGGCUCAAGUGUUCUGAUUCCUGGCAGCGGCAAUGCGGUAAUGCUUCUUUCCUGGUCCCUCCCUGACCCUUUCUGCCCUCAUGCUUGGGGGCUUGGCCCUGCUUUUCCC